AUGAUGUCUGCAGCUGUAGAGCAGGUGGCUGGUGGUUUCUCAUCAGCAGUUAUCCAACGUCUUGUUGACAAGACGAUAGACUUCCUUGGGAUCAACUACAAUCUAAGCCAUGCUACUCAAGAGCUUCUGACCAAACUCCGCACAAGCCUCAUCAUGGUGAAGGCCAUAACCGAGGUGGCUGACAACCAGCUUAUCAUCAACACUAGUCUUACCAAGUGGUUGAGGGAACUCCACAGUGCCGCAUAUGAAGCAGAGGAUGUGCUUGACAGGUUUGAUUGUCAUGAGAUAGUUGCCGGAAAGCGCAAGGUGAGCGAGAUCAUUUCGUCAUCAGUUAGGGCCUUGAAAAGUUUGAUUGUGCCUGAUGAGAGCAUGAAAAUGCUUGAAUGUGUUGUGCAAAAGCUAGACCACCUUUGUGCAACGUCCAACACAUUUGUCGAGCUAAUGAAGCAGAGUAAUUUAAACACCAUGAAGGAGGCAGGAAUUCCGGGAGAGACUACUUCUCGUGUUCCAGUUGAUGUCAAGGUGUUUGGCCGCGAGGAAGUUCUAGAGUUGAUACUGAAGAUUAUCUUGGGUUCAUCUGGCUCUGAACCAGAACCCAGCAGCGUAAGAGCAAAACUUGGUGCAAGGAACUGCCCUGGUGGUGUUGAUGUCAUCCCAAUUGUUGGUAUGAGCGGGGUUGGGAAGACAACCCUUGCUCAAGUCAUUUAUAGUGAUGGUAAUGUAAAGCACCACUUUAAGCAGAGGGCAUGGGUGUAUGUUUCAAAACACUUCAGCAUGAAAAGAACAUUGCAAGAGGUGCUGCGCUCUUUUAAAGGAUAUGAUUCAUCUUUUGACUACCCAGAUAGUUUGGAAAUGAUUAUCAACAAUAUUCAAAGUGUCACCCAGCAUGAUAGGAGGUUCCUUCUUGUGCUGGAUAGUGUUUGGGAUGAGAUGUGUGCCCAGUGGAAUGUUUUGCUUACUGCCAUAGCUCGUAAGGUGCCAGGAAGUGUAGUUCUUGUCACAACACAAAGCAAAAGGGUUGCAAACACAGUAGCAACAAUGCGUCCAGUUCCACUAGCACCUUUGCCAUGGGAGAGUUUUUGGUCAGCUUUCCAGCAUUAUGCAUUUGGCACCACCAAUGUUGUUGAGAACAAUCAGACUCUUCUGUUAAUUGGUGAACAAAUAGCAAAAAAGCUACAAGGUCUUCCACUAGCAGCUAAAGUAAUGGGAAAUCUGUUGCGGUCUAGAUUAACUGUAGACAAGUGGAGAAGCAUCCUGGAGAGUGAUUGGUGGGACCUGAAUGAAGUUCUUUGUGAAAUCCUUCCAUACAUGGGAAUUAGUUAUCAAGAUCUACAACCCAGACAAAGGCAGAGGUUUGCUUUCUGUUCGAUUUUUCCAGAAAAUUACUUGUUUGACAAAGAUAGAUUGGUCAAUAUGUGGAUUUCUCAUGACUUGAUCGAACAAAGCGAAUCUGAUGACACUAGAUUAGAGGAUAUUGGAAGCAAAUUGUUUGGUGAGCUUGUGGAAAGAUCAUUUUUCCAGGCUACAUUUGACAAAAAGUGGUACACUAUGCACGAUCUAGUACGGGCUCUGGCGAUUGGUGUUUCUUCAUAUGAAUGUUUCUUCCACAAAGAGACCUCACACAGAGCACCACCAACUGUUCGCCACUUGUCUGUGCAAGUUAGUAAUCAACUGCACAUUCAUGAACUCAACAAGUAUAGAAAUGUGCGGACAAUCUUAUUGUUUGGUCACUGUGACAGUAAUGCAAUUUGUGAUGUUGUGGACAUUAUGUUGGCCAACUCAAGAAGCAUUCGAGUUUUAGACCUAUCUCAUUUAGAGGUGCUGACGAAUAUGCUUCCCAACAUUGCAUCCUUGAGAAAAUUGAGGUUCUUAGAUCUUUCUUUCACAAGAGUCAGCAAUUUGCGCAACUUUCCUUGUAAUCUUCAGGUAUUAUACCUCCAUGGAUAUUCUCGGGGCACUAUUCCUCAUAGCAUCAAUAAGCUUAACAACUUACGACACUUGUAUGUUGAUGCUACAACCCUCUCUCUGAUUCCUAGUAUUGGGCAAUUGAGUCAACUUCAAGAAUUGGAGAACUUCAGUGCUGGAAAGAGAAAUGGGUUCAUGGUAAGUGAGUUGAAGAACAUGCAAGAGUUAUCUGGGAAACUUUGCAUCAGUAACAUCCACAUCAUUAAGAGCACACACGAGGCAAUGGUGGCCAAUAUGAUUGAGAAGAAGCACCUUGAGGCCUUAGAGUUGAAGGGUGGAAAUGUAUCCAAAGAUGUACUUGAAGGAUUGCAGCCGCACUCAAAUCUGCAAGAACUCAUGAUCAAAGGUUACGGGGCCACAAGUUUCCCAAGCUGGAUGCUACAGGCUCACAUCUUCACGAAACUUCAUUCCCUUCAUGUUGGAAACUGCCGACUUGUAGCUGUACUUCCGCCAUUUCGAAAUUUCCCUUCACUCAAGCAUCUCACUCUAGAUAACUUGCCAUCAGUGAAGCAUGUUGAUGGAACGUCUUUUGGUUUUCUUGGAAGUUUGGAGGAGUUGAAAGUUUCUUCGAUGACAUCAUGGAUAGACUGGUCACAUGCAGAAGAUGAGCAUGGCCCUCUCCUUCCACAAGUCAAAAGGUUUGAACUUCACAAUUGCCCUUUACUGGAAGAAGUGCCAUGUUUGUCAUUCUUGUCUUCAUUGUCAGAACUUGAUAUUUCAGUUUGUGGGUUACUUGUCAAGGCACUGCCACAAUACGUACAACUCUUAGCAUGCCUGAAAAAAUUGAAGAUAUCUUACUGCGAUCACCCACUCCUACUCUCUGGGCAUCAGUUGAAGUCACUGGAGUAUCUGCAUCUCAGAAAAUGUGGAGGGCUACGUUUGAUUGACGGGUUGCACUGCUUUCCCAGCCUCAGGGAAGUUGACGUUCUUGGUUGUCCCGACAUUCUUACUGAAUUGUCAGACAAAUCAAGCAGACAAGAUGAGCAGGGUGUACUUCACCUUACCAAUCUAGUAACAGAUGUCAGCUUGUUAAAUGGGAAUUCUUUUCUCCCAACAGUGCGAAUUCUACGCAUCUUUUAUUUGGAGACCCUCCAAUUUACCCCAGAGGAGGAGCAAUGGUUUGAACAGUUAAUCUCUGUCGAAAAAAUCGAGUUUGUUUACUGUUAUUUUCUUCAGCGACUCCCUUGUACGCUAAACAGACUUACCUCCUUAAAAGUACUCGAUAUCAGGGACACGCAACUAGUGUCACUGGAAGGAGUUGUGCCCCAGAACCUCCAAGAAUUGGUUAUGGAUGGCCUUUGCACCGUGAAAACAAACUACUUCAAACCCGGGGGAUCAGAUUGGUCAUACUGUUGUCAUGUUCCAUACAUCCGGAUUAAUGGGAAGACAGUCCAAAAUCUGUCAAUUAAUAAUGCCGCUUCGUCGUCUUCAAGCCACCAAAAUUGA
rnacentral:rRNA from 1 species